GAUCUACGUCUAUAUAUCUAUAUUCCAUUAGCCCUGUCUCUCUGGAGAACCCUGACUAGUACAGAGAGGAUCACGAGUAAGCAAGCAGGGCACUGACCUUGGAUGGGCCACUUGACCUCACAGGGGUCUGGUUUUCUGGAGACAAACGCCACACAGUGAUGGAGAGAACCUCGUGACAGAGCCUUGCCCAGGUGCACGUGGGGCGGAGUUCAUCACAGCGCUGGCUGGUUUGUUGAAAAGGAGGCCCGGCGGCUGUUCACUGUCUUGACAAACAGCCAGAGAGGCAGGGGAACCCUACACUGUAUACUUUUCUCAGUAAUAAA
rnacentral:lncRNA from 1 species